ACUUUGCUUAGUUUAUACAUUGAUUUGGUUUUGUGUUUUCAUUAAGUUUGUUGCCUAUGAUGAUAAUUAUUUGUAUGUAGAGCCAGGCUUUAUUUUGUUAGAUUCUUUAUCAGUUAUUACUUGGUCCUUUCAGACAAAGGAAAGUCUACGGCUGAAGAUUCUGAAAGUUCGUCUGACUCAGGACCACCUGAAGAACGUCCUGCAGUUGCCUACACUAAAAGGAAGAACGGACCUGAUCUUGAGAAACUCGAUGUUUUGUACAUGCCAGACAUCCUCGCAAUGCGCUCCUGGUCAGAAGAUGAAUAUGAAGAAUAUGAUGACUAUUUGAUCGAGAAAUGGGAGAUCAACGGAUUUGACAAAAACGACAAGGUGUAUGUGAAUAUCAGAAGCCUCAAGUCUAGGAUCUCCACUACAGCUAGGAGGUUCUAUCGUUUCAAACUUCCAGCACGUGGCAGCAGACUUGUUCCAUCUGUUUUCUAAGGGCAGACAUGACCUCAAGAACAUGCAUAACUGGACUGGUGAGGACUAUGACUCCUACGAUUUAUUCCUCAUCAACAAAUGGAAAGUGUCUGGGUUUGAAGAGAAGUAUGCAGCCUAUGUGGGCAUCCGUGACCCAGCUCUAUGGUUUUCAAGGCCUCCAAGACAUACUAGAAGGCUUCAUUUGACAAAAGUGUUGUCAACUCAUCUUGCUGACAACUUUUCUUUCAUUAAAAAAAAAAAGACAUUUGUUUUACUUCAUCGGAAUGUUGUCUUCUGUUUUUUCUAUUAUGCUUGCCAAACUUUUUAGAUGUCCAAGAAUCUCCUUGUUAAAGCUUCUAUUAUGCUCAGCUUUUGACUCUGUGAAUUGGUUUACUGCUAUAUACCAACGACAGUUUCCCUUUUUCUCUGCUUUAAUCUUGUCAUUUUUUUUUCGCACUUGUGAUUUCUGUGAGGUGUUAGUUCUCAUUGGUGGAUUAAUAUUUAAGAGGGAAUUUAUUCAUGUAUCAUUAGUGUCUUUAGGUUUUUUUAUACAUCAUCAUGUUUGAAAGAAUGAAACUUUUCUAGUAUGGUAUUUUUUUUGUCUUUCCAUGUACGCUUUGUUUUUUCAAAAGUUGUCAGUUGUAUUUGUAACAGAUGACUUCAAGAAUGGUUUUUUUUUUUCGUUAACACCUUGAAGAAUUGCUUUUGUGAUGCUUGUUUAAUGUUAAUGCUUCUUUGUUUCAAUAAUAUAUAUAUAUAUUUUUAAUCUCAAAGGCGUCUGUUGUUAGGUCUCUUAAUAUAUUUUUAAGAUUCCUUAAACUUCAAGUUAUAGGCCUUGUUUUGAGAUUCAUUUCUUUAAUAAAACUAGUGCUCAAGUUACCGUGUAGAUGAUAUUCUCACUCUCUUUCAUCAACUUCAAAUCAAAGUAUAUCUUUGCAUAUUGUAACACAAUAUUUUUGAAUUGAGAAUGGAUCUCCAACGCUGCCAAACUCACUUCUGCCAUAUAACUUUCCAGCCUUGACCCAGAUUGUUGUAUCUGAAAUCUUCACUUGUAUUAUUGCUACUUCAUCUGAAACUUUCUUCAAUGAAAUUUUUUUCAUGCGUACAAUUGCCACCAAUAACUUGAGAUCAUGGACGUUCUUAAUUCUCAUCCACUGAACUCUGUCCUCCUCAGACUCUGAAGUAUGCGUCCCUUCUCCAUAACUCUUACUCCCAAUAUCUCUGGCACAUGAAUUCCAGAACCAGUAAGAGCUCCUUUAACCGAUUCAAAGCUUCUCUUCGUCUCAUGACACCUAAUGAAUGAAGUGGUCUCAUGAACACAUAGUGAUUCCCAUGUUCUUGCAAGGAAGAGAGUGGAAUGUGUUGUAUUAUCUUGAGGUUCUUGUCUUUUCCCACCAUUCUCUUGAGAACCAUAACCUUUGUCCUCUGACCUGACUUUCAUAUAACUUGAUCUCCUUCUGUCUUGCUCUGUCCCAACAUUCUUUGAAUCAUGAACGGUCUCACAUGAAACAUUUGAUUUCUGAGUUGCACAGAACAAAGUAGUUUCACAACAGCCUCUGUUGAAAAAGAAAAGUAAGCUUGUUGCAUUAUGCUAUUGUUCUUGCAAUUUUCCAGUUUUGUCGGAAAAUGUUUUUUUCGGUUUUGGUGGAAAGCAUAUUUUUCCAGUUUUGGCGGAAAAAUGCAUUUCUCAUGAUUUGAUGGAAAAAUGUGUUUUUUUUUAUUUUGUCGGGAAAACAGAUAUUUUGGUUUUUGUGGGAAAACCGGUUUUCUGAUUUUGGCGAGAAAAC